ACCCGCUGAAUUUAAGCAUAUAAGUAAGCGGAGGACAAGAAACUAAAUAGGAUUCCCUCAGUAAUGGCGAAUGAACAGGGAUAAGCUCAGCAUGGAAAUUGGGGCCUCUGGCCUUGAAUUGUAGUCUUGAGAUGGCAUUGCCAGUGGAGGCGCAGAUGUAAGCCUCUUGGAAAAGAGCAUCAAUGAGGGUGAGAGUCCCGUUUGUCAUCUGCAGUCCCCCAUAAACGGUGUGCUUUCUAAGAGUCACGUUCCUUGGGAUUGGAGCGCAAAUUGGGUGGUAAAUUUCAUCUAAAGCUAAAUAUUGGUUCGAGACCGAUAGCAAACAAGUACCAUGAGGGAAAGGUGAAAAGGACUUUGAAAAGAGAGUUAAAAGUGCCUGAAAUUGCUGAAAGGGAAGCGAAUGGAACCAGUCUUCUGGGCGAGAUUGUUGCGCGCUACUGUGAUUGCCUGCUGCUUCAACGCAAGUGUCGCAGUGGGUUUUGAGCAUGACGUGCGCUUUGUUUCUUGCCUCGUGUGUCAACGUCGGUUCGGACUUGAGGAAAACUCCAGGGACAUGGUAAAUCGCUCGUGGGUGAUUGAAUGUGCUUGGCAGAACUCAUUUCUUAACUGAUUUCUGCAUGUCUGGUCGCAGUGCCUCGUUGCCUGCGCUCGCUGCCUCGGGUCUGGAGCUUCAGCUCUUCCUCGUUGCUUUGAGCCUGGUCGUGUGGCAUCUCCCUGACAUAAGUACGAUGACAAAAUGGUUUCAUUCGACCCGUCUUGAAACACGGACCAAGGAGUCUAACAUAUGUGCAAGUUCACGGGUGUUAAACCUGAUUGCGCAAUGAAAGUGACUGCUGGGAUAUUUGCACCAGCAACCGACCAAUCAAUUGUGAGAGGUUUGAGUAUGAGCAUAUCUGUUAGGACCCGAAAGAUGGUGAACUAUGCCUGAGAAGGGUGAAGUCAGGGGAAACUCUGAUGGAGGCUCGUAGCGAUACUGACGUGCAAAUCGUUCGUAAA
rnacentral:rRNA from 1 species